UCCUCACUGCAGAGAAUGAUCAAGCACCUUGUCAGUGAUCCAUAUCAUAUUUGUUGAUUUGAUUCCUGCUAAAAGAUCACUUAAGUGAGACCUUCUGAUUUCUUUAACACUUUUGAGGUUCCUUUCAUCUAAGCAGUGUUUAUUAACCUAUUUCUGGAAUUCAGCAAAAGCACAAGCUAUAUUUAAUCUGCUCUUUGCUUUGUUUUUGUUUCUGUGUUUUACCUUAUUUUAUUAUUAAUUCCAGUUUAAGAAUUAGUUACAGAGCGUUGGUCAGUAUUUUAAAUAACUGAGUUCAAAAAGUGAGAAAUGAAAUAAUAAGUACUAAGGUUUAUUAUGUGCCUUAGGUUCAUGUUCUUUAGGAGGAUUCUGAUUGUAGUUUAAUUCCAGGACUAAUGAUAAUGACAGCAGGAAAAGUAUACCCAGUGCAAGAGUAAUACUGGGACCUGAUGACUGAGCGUUGGGGUACAGCUUCUCCCAGUUUUACUGGUGGCCUGAUUAUUCUGAAUGGCAGAACUCUUGCUGUGUUACCCUAGGUCCCCAUCUGAAAUGUGGAUGUAAAAUAUUGAACUCUUCAGUUAAUUCGAAAUCUGCAGAUUAUGUUCUAUGAAUAGACUGCUUUCUCAUCAAAACUUGACUUAAAACCCCAUGACCGGUAAAUUCUGUAGAUCCCAGAAAUCAGAUACAGUUUGGAGACAAACAGUGAACACCACUUUUAUGGUGCUGCCAGAGGCAACUAUAGCUGCAUGGAAGAAAUCCUGGCCUCAUUCGUACGAGUGAAGUUUUGCCACUGAGAUAUUCAGGAUUUCGCUCACACUUUUCAUCAGCAGGCCGAGCAGAAGGCAGGCUGCAAUAAGGCAAACUGUCUGUUGUGUUCAGUGUGAGUGCAUGGCAGCUCAGGACCACACACAUGAGCUGUGGUCUGUACAUCCAGCUACAUCGUGCAGAUACCCUCAUUCUCCAAGGGUUCCACCUUCACAAUAUUACAGCUGAACUUUUCCAGCUCCGAGGAGUUUUCCCUCACAGCCUAUGUGGUGGGAGGUUUUGUCUUUCUCCCAGCAAUGUGGUCAAGGACAAAACAAUUCUGAAACUAAAUUCUCUGUCGAAUUUAACAGCUCUCCAUUUGCCCCAGCUAGGGUUGUGGCUACAGAUUUAUAUAGGAAUGCGGGCUACAGAUUUAUAUAUAUUGGCUGGAGAUCCACAGAAUUCCUACCAGGAAGGAUGAAAAUUUUUGCUAAGCUUCUUCAAGGAGAAGACUGUGGGAAUGAGAACGUCUUUAUAAAAAUGAACAUAAUCUGAGAGCAGAGGUGAAAUGAUACCAAAAGGAGCAGGCAGCCUGGAUUGCCCUGAAACACUGAAGCCAUCUGCAGUUCCCGCAUCGAUUUUCUUCUCCACGGCACUGAACAUACAAAGCCAGCAGGCACCUUUGAGUGCUCUCUCAGCCACAUGGAGAAAAUAGAUAAAGCCCUCUGGGCCUCCUGCAUGUCUGUGUGCAGCCUCACCUGUGUGACACCUGGCUGUGCCCAACGCAGGAAUCAGCACAGUGAGCUGGGAAGCCUGCUGAAUCGGCAUAUUUGUGUGGAGGGGGAAAUGCUGCCAAGGAACCGUGACCUGCCUCUUCUCUGCAAUGCACCGGUGUGCAGCAUCCCAACAGGAGCAGCGUUGUUCUGUGCCAAGUGCCUUGGAGACAGAGGAGACUGUGCCCAAUUUGGUGGAAAUAAAAAGCAACCUCCUAUUUUUGUUAUUUGCUGCUCUAGUGAAAACUGUGCUUCCCCUGAUCCAUCAGAAAAUAUUGUUUUCACUUCUCAGGCGACCACAGUUUUAGCAUCUUCAUGUGAAAAUACCUGGUUAAGUGCCACAGAAGGGAGGCAGCUUUCUGCACUAUGCCAGAUGUGCCACUGCCCAGAUGACGGUUGCACCAGGAGCAGUACCCGUGCCUCCAGCUGCUGGAAAACUCCAUUCUCCAUCAAGCCAAGUGUCUAAGCAGCACAUGGCAGUUCCUGUGUCCCUCCUUUAAUUAGACACUCUGAAAAGUGAGAAUAGCAUCAAAUAAGGUGAGGUCCCACUAUUAAAAACCAGCAAGUGAGUGUAUAUUUAGAUACUUACAAAAAAGAUCCACAUAAAAACCUGCAAGUUUAAGAAGAGGCAAAAAGAGCCUUUGAUGUUUCUGGACUCAUGUGAACUCUCAUGUCAGGGUGUAAGUCCCCAGUCACCGAGCUCAGAGCUGUGGCAGUGCUCUCUCCUUGCAUUCAGCAUAGCUGCAACUGGUCACAGAGUACAUAGCAGGGAGCGAGGCUGCACGACCUGCCUGCCCUGUGCUGCACGCACAUCCCCUGGAAAGCCAGUACUUCUGCAAGAGGCACUGAACACAUCCCCUGGCCCCACAGAGCAGAAGACUGGGUGUCCCCAUCACUCCUGGUAAUUCUCAGCAUGGGAACAGCAGUACUGCUGCUCUGCUGCAGCCCUGUGUCCUGCAGAAAGCCACAAAUGUCAGAGGAAGACGAUGGAGUAUGAAUUCAAAGGUUGCUUCUCCGUGUGCUGUGGAAGCUGAGAGGGCUGUGAUGAAUGCAGCGGGCACGGGGAAGUGUCCUGGAUGAGGCAGCUGAAUGAUGUCCCGCAGACCUGGCUGCUGCCAGAAACUUGCUCCGUCAGCCUGCGAAGGUCGUUUAACCCCGACGUUUUGCAUGGGGCUGCUAAAUGUAUGCUGCUCAUUUUGGCGUCUGCUUGCCAGAGCACAGAGCUCCUGCUGCUGGGAUGUGAACCCAGAAGAGCCAUGCAGUGCUGGGGAUGGAAAGCUGCCGCUUCCCGCUGGGUGUGGCAGGAUCACACGGAUCGUCUGGCAGCCUCCUGACAGUGAGCCUCAGGGUCCUGCAGCCCAUUGCUGGUCCUGGACAGCCAGCAGUGCUGGUUGGUGCAAACCACUCUGCCUACUUCCCUGCAGCUCGUCCGUUCUCCAGUUCUCUCUGUUUUGAUGGUUCCAACCGCCGCUAUUCAGGCUGGUACAGAAGGAAGCCCCUUCUCCUAGAGCCUCCAUCCUCCUGAGAGGAGAUGACAAUUGCAAGACACAGAGCAGGAUGUGCCAUGCAGCGAGCCUCUGUGGUGAGUGCCACAGUAACAUUUACAGUAACAUUUUCCCUAGA